GAUGAACGCUAGCGGGAGGCCUAACACAUGCAAGCCGAGCGGUAGAGAUCUUUCGGGAUCUUGAGAGCGGCGUACGGGUGCGGAACACGUGUGCAACCUGCCUUUAUCAGGGGGAUAGCCUUUCGAAAGGAAGAUUAAUACCCCAUAAUAUAUUGAAUGGCAUCAUUUGAUAUUGAAAACUCCGGUGGAUAGAGAUGGGCACGCGCAAGAUUAGAUAGUUGGUAGGGUAACGGCCUACCAAGUCAGUGAUCUUUAGGGGGCCUGAGAGGGUGAUCCCCCACACUGGUACUGAGACACGGACCAGACUCCUACGGGAGGCAGCAGUGAGGAAUAUUGGACAAUGGGUGAGAGCCUGAUCCAGCCAUCCCGCGUGAAGGACGACGGCCCUAUGGGUUGUAAACUUCUUUUGUAUAGAGAUAAACCUUUCCACGUGUGGAAAGCUGAAGGUACUAUACGAAUAAGCACCGGCUAACUCCGUG
rnacentral:rRNA from 1 species